rnacentral:rRNA from 1 species
GACGAACGCUGGCGGCGUGCUUAACACAUGCAAGUCGAACGGAAAGGCCCUGCUUUUGUGGGGUGCUCGAGUGGCGAGCGGGUGAGUAACACGUGAGUAACCUGCCCUUGACUUUGGGAUAACUUCAGGAAACUGGGGCUAAUACCGGAUAGGAGCUCCUGCUGCAUGGUGGGGGUUGGAAAGUUUCGGCGGUUGGGGAUGGACUCGCGGCUUAUCAGCUUGUUGGUGGGGUAGUGGCUUACCAAGGCUUUGACGGGUAGCCGGCCUGAGAGGGUGACCGGCCACAUUGGGACUGAGAUACGGCCCAGACUCCUACGGGAGGCAGCAGUGGGGAAUAUUGCACAAUGGGCAGAAGCCUGAUGCAGCAACGCCGCGUGCGGGAUGACGGCCUUCGGGUUGUAAACCGCUUUCGCCUGUGACGAAGCGUGAGUGACGGUAAUGGGUAAAGAAGCACCGGCUAACUACGUG